CUUACCAGCGGAGGCUCAUCCCCCACUCCCCGCCUCCUCGUCUGCUUUGCUCUUUCUCUGCCCACCUGGCCUAUUUCUGGAGUCACCGUUUGAGAGCCCUGAUAACAGUUAAACUUGCCCGCUUUGGGUGUAGCUAUUGACGGUCUGCGUCUUUUCUCCACGUGAAUUGUAAACCCGGCCCUGGUCUGCCAGUGCCUGGACAAGGUCACCAUGUUUCCUACUGAGGGAUGUCUACGCCAGAGGGACGCGGCUGCCGAGGAGCUGGACGGAGCGGGUCCGCCCUGGACACGCGCGGCUGGGCAGCUCCCAGGGUGAUAUCUGUGGCUAUGCAAGAACUCAGGAGCGCAUCACCACAUACCCCAUCGGAGGAAUUUUGAAGGAUGCAUCUUCCUUAUCUGAAAGGAAUUUGAAGAAGAGAGGAAAUCGAGACCUCCUUCCUCUGGCAUCGAGGUGAGAGGGACCUCUCCUAGGUCCCAAGGUUACAGGGCCCCUCAGAUCACAGACACGCCAAAAAUAGAUUUAUUGAAGGGCCUUUAGGUAUCCCGAGGUCUAGACAGCCCUAGCUGUCAGGAGUCAGUGCCCAUGGCUGCACAGUGCAAACCCUCACUGUAAACAGCCAUUCCCAGCUGGGCCUCGUCCAGGGAAACGCUUCUCCGGAGCUCUCGCCGUGCACGGAGGGUGUGAGGAACAUACAGACUUAGAUCAGGAGAGGACGUUGAAUUAACUCAUCAAAUCCUUCCUCUCAGAUAAUAUGGACGCAACAAUUCUUCCAUAUCGAGGUAUCAUUUCCCACUAGUACUGAGGAUCUAUUUUUCUUGCUUCUCUUCCUGUUCCAAUUCCUGGCUCUGGGGGUACUAGAAAGUUAGCAUGCUGUUUGCACUAGAAAAUUAGCACGCUGUUGGCAACAGUUGCACAUUGCGGCUAAGGAAUAUUUUGCAGCAUUAACAACACAAGUUACUUUUUAAUUUGCACGUAUGUAGAUUAGACAGAAGAUGAAUGAAGCAUGAUAUACAUUUUGAAAUCAUUGAUACUAGAUGGAUACUGAAUACUAAAACUGAAAAUAGUUUUAUUUUUGUAACAAGAUGGAGUGAGAUUUAUUAAAUGUUUAAAAUCACAUCAAAAUUCAGCCUUCUAAAAAGUUUCAUUCAAAAAUUUCAUUAACUAUAAAUUAUGUUUUAUUUUUGAUUUAAUGGAUAAUAUAAAUAUAUUUGAAGAAUUUUUUGAAAAUGUUUUAAUUUUUGAUGAAACUAUAUUCAAUUUUUAUAUUUGUGAUUAACUUACAUUUUUUUUUAGUCUCUUAGGUAAUUCUUUUUCUUUUUGAUGAGAAAGAUUGGCCCUGAGCUAACAUCUGUGUCAAUCUUCCUCUAUUUUGUGUGUGGGAUGCUGCCACAGCAUGGUUUGAUGAGCAGCAUGUAAGUCUGCCCCAGGGAUCUGAACCCAAGAACCCUGGGCCGCCAAAGCAGAGCACAUGAACUUAACCACUAUGCCACCAGGCUGGCCCCGUAGGUAAUUUUAUUAUAAGAACAUAAUUAGUAAUUUUGCUUAAAUGAAGGCAAGAAAAUAGAUUUUAUGGACUAAACAUACAAUAACUUAUGAAAAUGUGUGUUUUUAUUUUAUAAACAUUACUGGUUCAUCAAAAGAACAAUCUGACAUAUGCAAUAAUUGGAUUCAGUUGCUUUUUAUAGUUUAUGAACUUUAAGUCAUUCAGAAACCAUAACUUUACAUAUACUUUUUGAUUUUACCAUUUUACAGGUAGGAUGUAUUUCCCACAUUGGAACACGCAGCAUGUUUUAUGAAGUUUAACUUGACAUAACUUUCAUAUGCUUAUACAUGAGGCAUGAGGACACCCACUUGUCCUCCUGUGCUGGUGUCCCACAGAUGGUCCGCUGGCCCUGGUAGUGGACAGUGAAGUCAGUGACAUCCACAUAGAUGAUGAUAGACUCUCUGGGAGUGUGGUAUUAGUGCACUAAGAACUCUUAAAUCUUGAGGGGAAAGCUUCAAGGAAAGUUCUAAUAAGAGCCUAGAACUAUAACAGUUAACUUAAGCAAGCCCAGGAGUUGGUCACUGGGAAAGAAGGGGAGAGUGAAGCUAUUCUAGAAAGGGUCUCACGGGAGUUGAAGGAGAAGCAGGGAGUAACAUUUGGUAUCUUAUUUUCAAACAUGUAGAGAAACUUGCAUCUGAUUAUGAAAGAUGAGGAUUGAAAUAUUUAUAUAAUGCAACAUAGAGUUUAUACACACAGAGAGAAGCAGAGGGAGUUUUGAAAAGUACACCUGUGAAGAAGAAGCAUGAUUCAUGAAACUGUCUGCCACAGAGCAAUCUAAAAGCUAAGUAUACACAGAAAAAAUUAUAAAUGCAAGGAGCGCGUGACAAAAACACAAUUGUCGCAACAGAGUUCAAUAUAUCGGACUCAAAAUUAGCUCCAACGGCCCCAAAGAGGUAACAAUGUAGGUCGUAUUGACUGAUCAAGAAACCCAAAUAUGGGACAAUGCCUUUGUUACUAUGUUCAUGAAACUUUGAUAAAAACUGAACAUUCACUUGGCCAUAAGGAAAAUCGUAAUGAAAGUUUCAACGCAUAUGUGACAGGCCACAGUUCUGAUCAUAUUCAAUAAGGUUAGAAAUAAAUAUUUAAAAAGUGACCCAAAAAAUCUCCAGUACUUGGAAAUAAACCAACAUCUUCCUGGAUGACCUUCAUAUCAAAGAAGAAAUCAAAAGCAAAGUUAAAAGCUACCUAUAUAGCAAAUAGUAAAAGAAUGAGAUUCUUCAUUAAUAUAAGAUUCUAGAAGGGAGGCAAAGUAGUUCCAAGUUUGUACCACCUCCUGGAUCCUGGCAGAAAUAGACACAUCCACUCUCUAGUGGAAUGUAUACCCACUUUAGGGCUGAAGGGUUUCUGCUUAUUAACACAAAUAGGAGGUUGCAAUAAAAAAUCACCAGGCUCACGAGGGAACAAGGCACCAUAAUGGACAUUAAAUGGAAGCCACGUAACAGUUAGACCUCCCAGAACUUCGGAUUUUGAAGCGUAUGGAAUACUCAAAAAAAUAAAAGAAAAAAAAUCACAAAGAUGAUCAGGCAACAGAAAACUUCUUUGUAGUAAAAUAGAAUGCUGUAAAUGAAUAAAUAUUUGUUAACAUAAAGUAUAACACAGAGGAAAAGCGAACCUGCAAAUUAGACACAAUUGAGAAAUUAGUGAACUAAAAAAAAUCAGAAUUAUCCAGAACACAGCACAAUGAGACAAAGACGUGAAAUAUAUAAAAAACAAGGUAAGAUCUAUGGAACACAGGAUGAUAUGUUUCAACAUUCCUAAUGAGAGCUCAGAGGAAGAGAAUAAAGUAGAGAAGAGGAAGAGGAGCUAUAUCAGAGAAUUACUCGGGAUAAACAGGGAGAAAUGACAUCCAGACGCACCACAGUGAAAUGGACGACUACCAAAAGCAAAGAGCCAGAGAGAAAAGAGCAAUCGCCACAAGGCAGCAACAGUUAGACCAAGAGCGGACUUUCACAGCAACAACAGGGCCAGGAGCCAGGUGAACACUGUCUGUAGAUGGUGAGAGGAAAUAACUGUCAGCCUGGGACCACCAAACUCUCUUUUAAGAAUGAACGUGAAAUGAAUAUAUUUUCACAUAACAAAAACUGAGCUUUAUCAUCAAUAGACCUUUAUGAAAACACCAUUAUAAAAUAUGUACUCUGGGAAGAAGGAAAAUGGUCCCAGAGGGAAUGUCUGGGAUGGAAGGAAAAAGGGUGAAUACAGAACGUGAGGAAUAUAGAUACACAUCUAAAAUAAACACUGCAUGCUAACUUGACGGGUUGAAAUGCAAACCUCCAGGACUGGAGAGGGACGGUGGUAAACUGGGAGGUGAGUGGGAAGGAGGAGAUUUCAAGAUCCUUGCGUUACUUAGGAAGGGAAUAAAGUACUGUUAAUUUUAGACCUUCAGUUAAAUACGCAUUUGGUGAACCACUGGAAACAUAAAGUGAAACAAAUGGAAAUAGAACGUGCAAUGUCCUAACCACAGGCAGAAAAAGGCAACAAAAAGGGGGAAAAUCAAAUCCUAAAAAAAGCAGGACGCAUAGAAAUCAAAAUGCCAAAGGAUAGAAACAAGUCCAACUAUAUAUGAUAAGGAGUAUAAUAAAACCAUGGUAGCCACUUAGAAUGCUAUAUUGGAUUUAAAAAUCCAGAUAUAAAUUAUGUUACAAAGGACACACAUGUUCUUACACUGUCAGAGUUUCCUGAGAUGCAGAUACAAGGAAGGGGUCAGACGUGUAAGAGAUUUCUUGGGGGAAAUGCCCGUGAAAGAUGUAGAGAGAAGGAGAGAGGCUUCAGACAGGGUGGUGGUCUGACACUGUGAAGGGGGAGGGGGAUAAAGGAAUUGGCUGGGAAGCGCCUCAGACAACAGGAUAGUUCUAAGACCUCGUCAGCCAGAACAAUGGAGGGUCCACGGAAAGCCUGUCCUCAGAGAGAUCCCACGUGGGCUUCAACGGCCAUUCUCCACACCCCUGCUGUUCUCAGUCCUCGGCUGGGAGCACCCCAGGGGAAGCACGUCCCCAGUGGGAAGAUUGUGGUAGAUCUGCAAAUGUGGCGACCAGAGAUUGUCAGUCAACUCCCUCCCCGCAGCAGGUUCUCUUCGAGGAAGAUUCAAGCAUCGCGUGUCGCCACACACAGAAAUGCUGAAACUAAGAUGACGGAGAAAUAUGUACAAAGCUAAUACUAACAACAAAGAUAAAGGAAAAGUGGCUGUAUUAAAAAUAGAAAAAACAGACUUUAGGAGAAAAGACUAUUUUUAUGAAAGUUAACCGAUCUCAUUAGUUUCUGGUUUACCCUUUCUACAUUUCUCUUUGCAGACGCAUGUAGAUUUUUAUUUCCCUUAUGCAAAAGUUAGCAUACUAUAUACCCCAUUAUUAGGUUAAUAUACUGUAUUUUGCUAUCUUACGAAGAACUAUUAUGCUUUUGCGCCUUGCCUUUUUCACUUCAUAAUGUGCCAUGGAAAUCACUCCUUCUCAGUUCACAGAGAUGUUCCUUGCCAUUUUUUACACCCACAUAGUGCUCAGUUUUGUGGCUCCACCAUAGCUUAUUCAACACACAUCUGUAAAAAGGAACAGGAAAGACAAACCGGAGAGUGAGAUGGUUACCUGUGUGAGCAGGUGGGAAAAGGGUGGAAGAUAUGGGCGGGGGAGGGAGUAAUAUUUCUCUGAGUGUGCCUUUUCAUGUAAUUUUGACUUUUGGAACACACUCAAAAAUACUAUCUAAUCAUGUCAACAAGGAUGUGAAAAAAACCUUCAAAAUGGAAUAUAAACAGAAACCUAUGAACCUGACUCGAUUUCAAAUUAAUAAAAAAACCACACUGAGGGGAGAAAUAAAUAACCAAGUAAAGUUUGAAUACAGCACUUGACUUAUAUCUUUGUGCUGAAGAUAAAAAGAAUUGCAAACAAAUAUGAAUUCAGAUUAGUUUGUUUUUCACGGUAGUACGGGUUAGAAAUUUGAAACAUUCCGAGUAAAAUGGAGAUUGAACGCACGAGUAAAUAUAUGGAGGAAAUGGGGGCCAGUUUUCUCACUUUGAAUAAGAGCUGCAAAUAUGGAGAGCGGGAGGAUGAGCCAUCUGGAGCUGGACGGCAUUGGAGGUAUUGGCGUGAGCUCACGGAUUCUAGGACAAAUGAUUAUUAGAUGAUAGAAAGAGACAAACAGAUAUACUUGUGUGUAGCUCCUACCCCUAACCACCCCAGGUUUAUCUGCAGAAAAGAACUAGAAAUAAAGACGUCCCAAUAGCAAUGAGCAUGCUAAAUUUUGGUUACCAAAUGCCAUUCCCCAUUAACAGGAAGUUGAGCUCCUUGGAAUAAUAUCCAAGUCUAGGACUGUGAUAGGAAAAGCAAAAGAUGAGCCAGAAAAAGCAGAACAUCAUAAAAAAAAUAAAUAACGGGGAAUGUCAAAAGAAUGCAGGACCCAGCUUGAAGGGAAGGGCUUCCCAGAGUGGGUCCUUACUCUGUUCUCUGGGAGAAACUCUGUCAGUUUUCUCUGUGGAUCCUGGCUCCAUUCUCUGAAAAAAUUUUUUUUCCUAAUAUUCUCCAUAGCCCAUCUCAAGUGGGCAUUAAGAAGUGUCCAAGGGGUCUACAGGGUUUUCACUGCUUAUAUUUUGCCUUUGAAAGUUUGGGGUCCCAAGGGUUUUAAGACUUGAAUACUCAUUGGAUCAUUAUAGUGAUUUCUUUGGCAGUGCAGAUGCCUCAGAAAUACAGUGGACUUCUGAUCUGUUUGUUCCCGCUCAGUCCCAUGUAUCAGGAACCACGUGUGAAGUCCGUGCCAGAGGUAGGUUCACAUGACUGCUUGGUCUGUCUCCUUUCCCCAGGUCUCGACCUUGCAGCUUACUGGUGUCUGCUUCGGAGGCGUUGGAAGGCACAGGCAUGGGUGGACUUCAGUAGACUUAUGCUGAUUUUUACCAUGAGAUGGAAUCACUUUAUCUAACUGAGGAACCUCACAGGCCUCUGUUUCUCAAAGAUUUUAUUUUUCAGGUUUUUACUUAGAUUCUAGAGCAGUUUGCUUUUCCAUCCUUGUGAUUUCCAACUGUGAUUUCCAAUCAGCCAACUUUUGCGUAAGGUCGUUUUUGGUUUGUUUUGUAAUACCUUGCUGAAAGCAGCAAGCAAAGCUAACACACAUUAAUGCUCUUUCCAACCCCUUCUCCUAAAGAUGCAGGCUCCGUAGGCAUGUGGUCUGUCCAAGUUAUGACAGGUGGCAAUUUUACCAAAUAUUUUGCCUUUCUGUAGUACUCGUUUCCACUUUUUCCAGCCUGUGUUAUUUAUUUCCUCGCUGCCUAAACUUUGUCAUCUAAGCCAAGGUCACUUGUUUUUGUUUUAGUGUCACUCUGUGUUAAGGUGCCACUCUCUGUGUUAAUCAGGAUGGCACUACCUGCUGUAACCCAUGACCCCUGCCCUGCCAGCUCUGCCUGCCUAACCUGGUGGUCCGUGAGUGCCCCCCUCAGUGGGCAGUUUUCCUUGACCUGGUAACUCAGGGCCCUGGACUCCUGGCAUCAUGCCUCUGCAGCCUUGCUGUCCUCACCUCCAACCAGUGGAUGGGAAUGAGACCAUGAGACCUAGAAGUGACACACGUCACCUCAGCUCCCGUUGCGCUUCUGAGAAGUAGUCACACAACCCCUGGCCGAGCUCCCUGCUCCGGGAGAGAAGCCCAGACUGUGUGUGGAGAGCAGGCUCCCUCCCCCACUGUUCACAGUGAGUCUGCAGCACCCUUUGGUUCCACGUAAGGCCGUCAGCUGCCCGAAGGCUGACUCGAGUGUCUGCUUUCACUCCCAACCUUUUGUCUGUGUAGUGAAGUCAAAUCCCUGAUGUAAAAAUCGACGUUUAAGUCUCAGACUUUCUUGUGUUAGACUUCAUCAUGACAGUGGCAUCUCCAUUAAGAUGGUAAUAGCUUAAGGAACAAUUUAUGGACUAAAACUUUGUAAUGGAAAGUAGAAAUCAUGCAAUUGAUGUUUAGAUGCGCUCUUUAGGAUUCCCUCUCUACUUUGUUGUAUUGUUCUGCUGUGCCUCUCCAGAACAAUUUGUUCCCUGUUAUCUCAAGGUUAAGAGAAUCGUGCUCACAUCCCUCCCACAUUGCUCAGGGAGGCAGCAAAUAGCGAGCAGGCGUGAUGUGGGUGGAACCAGGUUCAACAAAACAUAUGUCGGGAUCCUGAUCCUAGUACCUCAGAAUCUGACCUUAUUUGGAAAUAGGGAUAUUCAUACGUGGUUAGUUAAGAUGAGGUAAUGAGGGCAGGCCCUAAUCGAUAUGAUUGGAGUCCUUCUAAGAAGAGGGGACGUGCUGUGAAGACACACACAGGAGAAUGGCCACGUGAUGACGGACGCAGAGACUGGGGAUGCAGCUGCAGGUCAGGGAAUGCUGAGAAGCCGGGAGGGGGCAAGGAGGGUUCCACCCAAAGUCUCAGCGGGAAAAGGGUCCUGCCAACACUUGAUUUUGGACGUCCAGCCUCUAGAACUGUGGGAGAAUAAAUGUCUGUCUUUGUAGGCCCCCAGUUAUGAUAUUCUGUUCAGGCAGCCCUGGGAAGCUAAGACCAGGUGCUAGGUUUGGACUGAGCAGAUCUGGGGUUAAAUACCCUUUCUCUCACUUCCGUCUGUGUGGUCCUGGGCAGGAUGCUUUACCUCUCAGAGCCUAUUCCCUCAACUCUAAAAUGGGAGAGUAUAACGUUUACCUUUCAGGGCUGUUGGGAGGAUUUUUAACGUCCUGACGCACUGUAAAUGCUGGGCUGGGGAAAAUCGUGGAGGUUGUUUGUUGGCGUAUUGAGUGGCGUAAGCGUUGGCUAUUCUUCCAGAUGCAAGUGCUGCAGCUGUAAACUCAAGAAAGAAUUGUUUGCACGAUGUGUAUCUACACACGCAGGCAUCUCUGUAUGCUAACAUUCAGACAGUAACUCCAUGCACACAUGAAAGGGUCUAGUUAGCUUUGCCUUGGGGCAGGCAAACUCUUCUGUGAGAAAGGGUCAAGAAGGACAUAGUGGUGCAGUUGAUUCAUUAAUUCAAGAAAUACCUGCUGAGCACUGAGCUUGUCUCGGCACUGUGCCGAGCCCGGGUGCUGAAGCAGAGAAUGGGUAAGGCUCUCUUGCCGACAAGUGGUGGGCAGGGUCACUUGAUGAGUCUUUUGAGGGCAGUGCCGUGGGACAGCUCAGGAAUUCGGAGCCAGGGCGUCCAUACCAGCCUCGGAGCCAGGAAGGGCUGGAGAAGAGGCCCCUGACCUGAGCCCCCAGGUGUGAGUACUAAUUAUUCAGGUGAAUGUGGCUGUUUGGGGGCACAGGAGCUCCCAGCAGAGGGAGCAAACAGAAAGGGCUCCACAGUGGGAGGUAGCACCUACGAGGGUUCUCUGGUCAUAUCUGUAUGUUCUUAUGUAUUUGGGGAGAUCAUUCCCCUGGAUUUGGAAACUUUAAUUAGUCUGAGGCAGCUGGCUGUUCCUUUACAAUCUUGCCCUCUAUUCUGGUCUUCAAUUUGCUCCUAAAAAUGCUUUUGCUACAAUUUUUCAGAUGAAAAGUCACCCUUCGGGAUAAAAUAAAAUGCGCAGACAGCCCUUUGGCCUUUGCUCUGUUCUUGGCUAACAGGUGCUGUCUGUCCCAAGCGGUGGGCUUAUCCCUCCCUUGUUUCUUUUGUUUUCCAAAUAUAGCUUGUGAAAGUCAUGCCUUUGUUCUGUAGGAUUUUUUGUAAACCUAGGUCCAUGGUGCGCCCCAAUUUUCUGAGAGCUGCUGUGACAGAUUUGUUCUUCUCGCAUUUGUGCCUGCUCAUCCCCUCCCUCUGUUGUGAUGUCUUGUAUGAAGAUGUCGUUUCAAACAGGAAUCCAUCAGCAAGGUCCCCCAGGAUGACCCCAGUGCUCUCUUUAAAUGCCCCCCACCAUCUUCAUUUUAUUCUUCAUUUAGACUUGAGAUUCAAAAUUUCACUUAUUUUAGAGCUUGACAUGUCCCUGAGCCAUGUCUCCUUUAUGGUCUCUUGCCAUAUGGUUUCGAAACUCAUCUUCCUAAAAUCUAAGGAACAGGCCUAAUAGUUCCCAGAGUUCUCUUGAUUGAUUGUUGUAGCCACCAAGAUGUCCUAGAAAUGUAGACAUUGGGAGAAAUUCCUCAGCGCGUGCAACAGGAUAUUGAAUACAGGUUUCCUGUUGUCUUGGAGUGUCACAGAGGUCCCAAAGGCUGCAAACAAUGGGUGACAAAUUCUCCCACAUUCCAAAGGAAGGGCCAGCACCUGUGCUGAACCUGAAACGAAUGUGGUCCAAAGUGAGCUCCCUGCACCCUGCGCAAGGCUGUAUGAGACGAGCUGGAAACGUCAUUGAGAUGUUGAAGCAGCUGGUGGGGAGGCUCUGCUUGGUGAGAGGGUCAGCGUGCUGGGAGUUCCCACCAACCUUGCCACGAGGAACAAAGGGAGAGGCGAGCUUUCCCCGCCUCAGCCCAUUGACAGUGGCUGCAAAAAACCAAACCAAAACAAAACAAAGCAGCCUGGAGAGCCUGGCAUGUGAUCUGUAGCCAGUUGCUCUUUUGAGCCAAGGAUGGGGCAGUGUCGAGGAUGGUCCCACGUCCAGAUGCUGAUGAGCCUGACAUGGAUCACGUGGGAGGGAAUGGAUGGUUUGGAGCAAGGGCUCUCUCAAGACACUGCUGGUCUGUGCCAGGUAACCUGAACAAAGUGGGGAUCACCAGCAACCCGGGGCUUGGAGAGAGCUUUCAGACCUACCAGAGGAGGAGUUGUAGCCCACAUCAAGGAAACUGGAGGCAAGAGAUCACCAGCAAUGCAAGCUCUAAAGAACCCACAAAAUUACCCCGUGGAGAAAAAAUCAGUGUUUGCUGUUGCCACAUCCAGAGAGUACUAAUGAUGGAUUUCAGCUGAACCAAUCAAGUGAGAAAGUUUUGCCCCAUAUCUCCUCUCCUUCCUCCAAGUCCAGCCCUGAAGGAACUGAGUGCAGACAGUGACUAGGGGCUGAAAAGUAAAGAACAAGCUGGAUAGACAGAGAAGCAGCAGCCAGGUAUGGUGGAGACAGCUGGCAGUCCACCAUGGCUUGUGCUCCCCUCCAUGACUACGUCAUUCAAGAGAGUGACUACUCACCAUGGGGUUACGGUUUCCAGAGGCAAUGCCCUGUGGAUAGUGAUGGGGGCACAUGACUGAGUUCUGCCCAGCGGGAUGUGGGUGAAGGUGAUAGAUGUUACUGGCCCACAUUAACCUCCCAGAAAAUCUUCCAUGUUCUCUCUUUUGCCUCUUCUGGCAGCUAGAUGUUGAUACCCAGGAUAUAGAAAACCCUAUAAAUACCCUACCCAGGUGCCCUUAGCCCUUAAUAUUUAAGUGCACACUAACCUAUAUUCCAGCUGCCUGUGCCUGACUCUCUUUGCCUGAAGGCUUUUUUCAGCCACUGGAGCCUUCUUUGCCCAUAUAUAUGGCAGGUUGGAAAUGCCAGGGCAUUAGCACCUCCUCAAUAUGUGAGCAAUCCUAAGCCAACGGCUGUGUGGAGUCCGUGGAGAAAUCCCCCAGCCCCCUUCUCCCUGGGUGAGGUAACUCUGGAGCGCACGGUCUAUACCGUUUCCCAGCAGGACUAGGUUCUGGUGGCCCUUGGUGAUAAAUUGUGUAACUAUUAUUGUCUUCUUUCCUUUCCCCACCUCACUUCCCUGAUCUUUAGUGAUUGGCUGUGACUGCCUCCCAAAUAAAAACUACCUUUAUUCAAAACUUGUUUCAGGAUCUGCUUCUGGGGAAACCCAAUCUAAGACCAGGGCAACUUUGGAAUCCACAUUAUUGAAGACAGCUGAGCCUCUGACAUCUUGGAUCCUUGAACAACGAGGUGGAGGAGAUCCUCCUCCCCCACCAACACCAUAUUGCCCCAAGCCCACUACAGCUGAUUCCAUUUUUUACGAGCAAAAACUAAUUUCCAUUGUGUUAAGCCACUGACAUUUCGGGAUUUAUCUGUUACAGGACCUCAGCUAACACGCUCUGUUUGCCUCACUUUUCUUUGGCAGGUUCCCAAACAUAAAGCAGAUCCAGACCCGGGAAAGGGAAAAGCUUUACACUGGAAGAGAGUUUGAAAUUUUCAUGCUACUCUGGGUGGAUUUUUUUUCUAUUGUGUUGAAAAUGAAAUUUAAGAUUUAUAAUCUGAGAGUGACCCACAUUUCAUCUGGGGGUGGGGAAGAACGAGUUGAGAGAAUAGGUAAAAAAUAAAUUAAAUUGCUUUCCGCCUGCAUCCUACUAAGUUCAGCUCUUUCAAUAAACUGGUUAUAAGUGAUGUCUGUUUCUCUGAUUCAGUGGAAGCAGCUAUCCUGACAGCUCAGUGUGAGCUAACAAAACAAUAGAAAAAGUGUUUUUGCUGGUAAAUUAAGCAUUGCCAUGUUUAAUUUUAUUAGUUUUCCACUUGACCAUGCAUUGAAAGAUACACCUAUAUGAAUGAACAUUACUCAUUAUUAUCUGUUAUAAUAGCUGACCAUCUUAUUUUAUUUAUAUUGAGGAGAAAGAAAUAUUAGUUAUGAACUUCGAGUUUGGAAAUUUUCGUGAAAAAUUCUAAGUCCCCUCCCCCUCCCCCCUACUACCCCAAGUCUAAUUCCUAGAUGCUGUGUUCCUUUCUAGCUCCUUCGGGCUGAAAGCUUAUGUUGAAACAAGUGCUUUGUGUCAACUUCCCUUCAGCUUCUGGGUAGUCUCUUGUUUCACAGGAUCCACGUUCGUCUGUUCCUUCCUCAACCCUUCAUCUCAUCAGGAAGGCAGGAACCCCGAGGUCAUGCCCAGAUAUAGCCCUAUGGUGUCCCACUUUCUUAGAAUGAGAAUUAAGACAGUAAUAGCAGCAAGAGGACAAACUGGAACAGGCUCUGAGCACUCACGCACACACAAGAAAAGGAGCGAAAAUAGCUGUAGUUCAUGAAUGUGAAACACUCGAAUGCCCAAUAUCAAAAUGGAAGCCAACAGUUUAUGAGUCUCAGCUUUACCCUAAAUAUUUUUAUACCACAAAAAGACACCUUCAAAUUAACUGAGAUGCCAUUUAUCCAGAAGGUAAAAUUAAAAUCUAAAUUUCUUUGGAUUAAUAAUAAUAUAUUACAUUAUUGAGUAUUUACUAUGUGCCAAGUAUUGUUCAAGGCGCUAUGUACAGUCUAACUCAUUCUAUCCUUAUGACACACUGUGCUAGACAAGAACUUUCCUUACCUCCAUUUUACAGAUAAGAAACUGAGGAAUUGAGAGGACAAGAAAAUUGUUUCAAGUUUCACUGCUCAGAAGUGGUAGCGUCUUGGUUUAAAACAGGGCAGGCUGGCUUCCCAGCCAUGGUGUCAAUCCUGGUAUUAACGGCUACUGCUUGGUGAGUUCCACAGUGCAAGACUCAGGGGCAUGUGCUUCACCUUGACCAUGUACUUCAACCGUCACAACAGCUUCAAGAUCGCGUUCUCAAUUAACACAGGAAGGUACAGAAGCUCAGAGGUUAAGAAACUUGCCAAGUCUGCGUUUAUAAUCUGAUUCCCAAAUCACUCUUCCUUAACCUUUGAGUGACCAUAUAAUAUUGUCUCAAGUCCAGGGUACUUUUAAGAGUGAAAAGAGACAUUCUUAACAAUUGAUGGCAUGGCCAGCACAAACCAGGACUCUCUUGGGCACUCUGCGAUGCAUGAUUGCCCUCCACCCUUCUGAACUUGAGCAGCUGAUGACAUUCUGAUAUUGCACCUGAAGUGAAUUUGCUCACCCGUUGUGCAGCAAGCCAAUCUCUGACACUGGGUAUAGUGGAAGAAAGUAGGAAUUUUAUUAUUGCACAGAGCUGAAUAAGGAGAUAGGACAGCUAAUACUGAAAUCCCAAACUCCCUGAAAAGCUAAAAGGAAGGGUUUUUAUUUGGAGUUUUAGGUAGAGGAGGGGGAGCACAUGGCCUUGCUGGUUGGAGCUUUCCCACCAGCCUGUCUUUGGCCUUGAGACACUUGCAGAGAGGAGGGAGCCUGUGACCUUGCUGCUCAGCAGCUUUCCCACCAGCCUGUGUCUCCUUGUUGGGGAGGAGAUCACGAAUCCAGGUGCUUAUCCUUGGCUGUGUCUGUCUCCAUGGAGGAUAGUGGAUUGUGGAGCCAGGAAGCCAGGGAGCAGGCAGGGAAUGAGUGCUUUGGUUUUAACCCCAUAUAUGCAGGGUUUAAUGUAGAGAAACUGAUAUCAGGGCCAGUAUCAAUUUGACCCCAAAUCUUUGAAGAGUUCCUCAAAAUGACCAAAGAAAGAAGUGUUUCCCCAGAGUUUUGUGAACUGGAAUCACCCAUCUCCUUCCCUCUCCCUCCAUGUUUAUUUCCUCUUUGGAAACCCUGUUUGGUCAACUUCCUCUCCUCUACUUCAAGUCUUUUGAAAAAAAAAGACCACCAUUAGAUCUUAUAAAUGUAUUUUCUUCACAUGUGAAAUGAUGGAUUAUUGACUCCUUGGAGAAAAUAACAUCCUUUCAGCUAACAAAACAGAGCUGAACAAAACAGGAGGAGAGCACAGAGAGGGCCACUAAUUUAAAGAGAAAUUUAUAGGUCUCCUGAUGUCAUGAGUAAGAAAGACUUUGCUGUCUGCAGGGAAAAGGAAACAGUGCUGGAGACUAGGUAUGCACAGAGUCUCCUCUGGCAUUAAAACCAGGCAGACGCCCAGUCUCAGCCCAGACCUAUUACAUCCAAGCUUUAGAGGCUGGACUCUUCAGUGUUUGCAUCUUUGAGAACCUCACCAAUGAUUCUGAUUCACGGUCAGGGGGAACAAAUCAAUAUGAAAUCCCCUGACGACAACAGACCUUUCCAGUAGAACCGUGGAGUAUGCACAUCAGUCUUCAUCCUGUACCAUCAAGUCACCAAGCAGCCGACCCUGGGUUUCUCAACAUAUUGUAGGCAGAACUUGUUUUGGUUGCUUUUCUAACCUUUUCUGAGAUUCUAAUCAAACCUCAUCUUUCCGACCUGGUUACAUUUGUUGCCAUCUUUUUCACGGUUCCUUUCUCUUAUUUUCCUCCACUUCCUCAUUCUCUGCAUCUUCAAAUACAUACAAGCAUACAUAAAUACAUAGAUGUAUACAUCAAUUCAGGUAAAUGUAUGUAUUUGUAUGUAUGUAUUUACCUGAAUUAUUUUGAGAUUUAAAAAUAAAUAUCUCUUUUUCUUUUUCAUAAAAAAAUCAUUCUGUGUUGAUUUUACUUAUUUUCAGGAUUAGGAAAGACCUCUUGAAAUCAACUUUGAUCUUUACUUAAAUUGUAGAUGAGAAAUCCAGGAAAAACAAUUUUGAAGAAAUCCCAUGCAUUAAUAUGCUUUUAAUCACAGAGCUAUUGUGUUUUGUUUCCCACUGAUUUUUUAAAAAUAUUUUUUCUCUUUUUGGUGAGGAAGAUUGGCCCUGAGGUAACAUCUGUGCCAAUUGUCCUCUAUUCUGUAUGUGGUAUGCCACCACAGCAUGACUUGAUGAUCGGUGUGUAGGUCCACACCCAGGAUCUGAACAUAUGAACCCUGGGCUGCGGAAGCGGAGCACAUGAACUUAACCACUAUGCCGCUGGGCUGGCCCAUUUCCCAUAUAUGUUUUUCCGAACAAGCCAUUAUGGAAAUUUAAAAAUAUACUGCAGAGUUGGAAGAAUUUUGAACUAAACACCCAUGGACCCCCCACCUUGCGCUACCACACAUCUAUCCAUCUGUGAUGCCUCCCGUGGAUCGACUAAUCCAUCUUAUUUUUCAGGUAUUUCACAGUGUAUUUGUACAUUGAUUCAAAUAAAUUAUAUUGCUGUUACUAAUGUUGAUGGUGACAAAAUACUUCAACUGCAUAUUGUCGUUCAGUCAACCAGUCUUCGUUCAAAAUCACUCCAUGGGAAGAGAGAGCACAGGUCAGACUCCAUUUUGGGGGAAAUAAAAGUGUUAUCUUUUGCUGGUAAGGAGAUUUAAGGGUUGGUAUUACAUUUCUAUGUAAUGUAAUGUGUAUUUUUAUUCUAACAUUUAAUUGCUGUUAUAACAUAAUUCAAAGCCUUUGACAAAAAAAUGUUUAAUCAAUGAUUGCUACUUGCCCAGUGUCGUUUACGAUAACAUGCCAAUGGAAGCAGGUCUGUGGGGAUUAACGUGCACCUGAUUUUUGUCCUUAGACCCUUCAAUGUUGAAAAUACAAGGAACAGUUUUCAUAAAACAGGGCUUUUUGUGUGGUUGUUAUUUGAGGACGCUAUAGAAUGGUUCUCUCCUCCACUGAAUAUCCACCACACCUGCCUGAAGUCCCAUCAUGGUUCAUGGCCUUUUGGGAGAUCCUGUAAAAAUGCCAAGAGUCUUCACUGUCAGCCUCUGUUUUCCUUAUUCCUCUGGACUAUCUGACCAAUUAGGGAGACCAAUAGAUACACCCCACCAAUAGGCGGAAGUCAGAAUUAGUCUUGCUGCCGUAGGCUUGGGGUUUUGGUGUCUUGGACACAUUCGGGUUCACCUGGGUGCCCCCUAACUCAGCCUCUUGCCAGCCCCCGUGGACUUAGUGUCCACGGGGGCUGGACUCUCCGACCGAUUUUCUGCUUAGUGCUCCAGUUCCCUGAAUCCCAAGUUACCUCGAUGAUGUGGGGGAGGGGUGUACUGACUCCUACCUAUCCCUUGCCUCUUCCUCUGUGUCAGCUGGCCAAACCGUGGGUCUCAUACUCCCAGUUCACACUGGGGAUGCGACUUCUUGUAGUUGUGUCACUGGAAACCAGGGUCCACAUACUGGUAUGAACCUGAGGACAGCUUGUGUUUGGACUGCCUUCCAUCCUGCACCCACUGGAUUCCAGUCCCACGAGUGUAAGUAGGGAUGCUGGUUUGAGUGGAGCAUGAGCUUGGGACAGUGGAGCUCUGCCCCUUUGGGGUCCAUUCCUUAGACCACAACCUGAACGGCCUUCCUUCCUCCCUUCCCCGCCAAUCCAUGUGAGCCUCCAGACGAGUCAAUCUGGUUGGCACACCCAGAGUAUUUAAGAACACGGAUGCUACAGUCAACAGUCCUGGGUUCAGAUUUCAGCCACUUAUCAACUGUGACAUUAUGCCCAUCCCUUAACCUCCUUAAAUUUCAGUUUUUUCAUCUGGAAAGGAGCUUGCCAUAGCACCUUCCUCAUCGCAUGUUUAUGCCUUGUUACUAAGACAAAUGCCUGAGAAGUCCCUAAUAUGUUAUGGUAACUAGUAAGUUCAAGAAAUGGAAGCUUCAAACAAAAGUUAAAAUUGCCAGUAUUAUUCCAGACGCUCGAAGCCACUUCUAAAAUAAAAUGAGUUCUAAAUAAAUAAAUAACUUAAAGUGUAUUUUUAUUCAUUAAUAUGUUUUGACCCUUUGCUACCCAAACCUUAUUCAGACACCUGACAAAGUCCUGUGAGAAUGGCACCUGGGAGGAUUAUGGACUAUGAAAAUGGAAUAAGUUCCUUUUAUUUCUUCCUUGUUCUCUUCCCUCUACAAUUCACUAACCAUUUGCUCAAACUUUUAGUCAUUUAUUUGUUCAGCCAAAAAUAUUUUGUACGGGGCGCUGUCCCAGGUGGGCAUGGAGGCUGACAGGUAUGCUAAGGAGCUGGAUUUUCUACAGGUGACUGGGAGUCAUUAAAGAACUUGAUCAUG
rnacentral:lncRNA from 1 species